ACGGGGUGCAGCAGGCGCGAAACCUCCGCAAUACACGAAAGUGUGACGGGGUUACCCAAAGUGUUCAAUUUUGAACUGUGGUAGGUGAGUAAUGUUCCCUACUAGAAAGGAGAGGGCAAGGCUGGUGCCAGCCGCCGCGGUAAAACCAGCUCUUCAAGUGGUCGGGAUAAUUAUUGGGCUUAAAGUGUCCGUAGCCGGUUUAGUAAGUUCCUGGUAAAAUCGGGUAGCUUAACUAUCUAUAUGCUAGGAAUACUACUAUACUAGAGGGCGGGAGAGGUCUGAGGUACUACAGGGGUAGGGGUGAAAUCUUAUAAUCCUUGUUGGACCACCAGUGGCGAAGGCGUCAGACUGGAACGCGCCUGACGGUGAGGGACGAAAGCCAGGGGAGCGAACCGGAUUAGAUACCCGGGUAGUCCUGGCCGUAAACGAUGCAUACUAGGUGAUGGCACGGCCAUGAGCCGUGUCAGUGCCGUAGGGAAACCGUUAAGUGUGCCGCCUGGGAAGUACGGUCGCAAGGCUAAAACUUAAAGGAGUUGGCGGGGGAGCACCACAAGGGGUGAAGCCUGCGGUUCAAUUGGACUCAACGCCGGAAAACUUACCAGGGGAGACAGCAGUAUGACGGUCAGGUUGACGACCUUACCUAACGAGCUGAGAGGAGGUGCAUGGCCGUCGCCAGUUCGUGCCGUGAGGUAUCCUGUUAAGUCAGGCAACGAACGAGAUCCGCACCUUUAUUUGCCACCAAGAAGUCACGACUUCGUUGGGAACACUAA
rnacentral:rRNA from 1 species